GCCGCGGUAAUACGGAGGGUGCAAGCGUUAUCCGGAUUUACUGGGCGUAAAGCGCACGUAGGCGGAUAUUUAAGUCAGGGGUGAAAUCCCGGAGCUCAACUCCGGAACUGCCUUUGAUACUGGGUAUCUCGAGUAUGGAAGAGGUGAGUGGAAUUCCGAGUGUAGAGGUGAAAUUCGUAGAUAUUCGGAGGAACACCAGUGGCGAAGGCGGCUCACUGGUCCAUUACUGACGCUGAGGUGCGAAAGCGUGGGGAGCAAACAG
rnacentral:rRNA from 1 species